GUCGAACGGUAACAGGAAGCAGCUUGCUGCUUCGCUGACGAGUGGCGGACGGGUGAGUAAUGUCUGGGAAACUGCCUGAUGGAGGGGGAUAACUACUGGAAACGGUAGCUAAUACCGCAUAACGUCGCAAGACCAAAGAGGGGGACCUUCGGGCCUCUUGCCAUCGGAUGUGCCCAGAUGGGAUUAGCUAGUAGGUGGGGUAACGGCUCACCUAGGCGACGAUCCCUAGCUGGUCUGAGAGGAUGACCAGCCACACUGGAACUGAGACACGGUCCAGACUCCUACGGGAGGCAGCAGUGGGGAAUAUUGCACAAUGGGCGCAAGCCUGAUGCAGCCAUGCCGCGUGUAUGAAGAAGGCCUUCGGGUUGUAAAGUACUUUCAGCGGGGAGGAAGGCGACAGGGUUAAUAACCCUGUCGAUUGACGUUACCCGCAGAAGAAGCACCGGCUAACUCCGUGCCAGCAGCCGCGGUAAUACGGAGGGUGCAAGCGUAAUCGGAAUUACUGGGCGUAAAGCGCACGCAGGCGGUCUGUCAAGUCGGAUGUGAAAUCCCCGGGCUCAACCUGGGAACUGCAUUCGAAACUGGCAGGUAGAGUCUUGUAGAGGGGGGUAGAAUUCCAGGUAGCGGUGAAAUGCGUAGAGAUUGGAGGAAUACCGGUGGCGAAGGCGGCCCUGGACAAAGACUGACGCUCAGGUG
rnacentral:rRNA from 1 species